GUCUAUGUCCAUACCACUCUGAAUGUGCCCGAUCUCAUCUGAUCUCGGAAGCUAAGCAGGGUCAGGCCCGGUUAGUACUUGGAUGGGAGCGUUACGUACAAUUAAAUGUGAAGAUUAAGUGAAAUAUGAA
rnacentral:rRNA from 1 species